rnacentral:tRNA from 1 species
GGAGAGUUGGCCGAGUCUGGUUUAAGGCGCUGGUUUUGAAAACCAGUGUGCGCGUAAGCGUACCGUGGGUUCGAAUCCCUCACUCUCCGC